rnacentral:rRNA from 1 species
GCGGUUUGUCGCGUCUGCUGUGAAAGCCCGGGGCUCAACCCCGGGUCUGCAGUGGGUACGGGCAGACUAGAGUGCAGUAGGGGAGACUGGAAUUCCUGGUGUAGCGGUGAAAUGCGCAGAUAUCAGGAGGAACACCGAUGGCGAAGGCAGGUCUCUGGGCUGUUACUGACGCUGAGGAGCGAAAGCAUGGGGAGCGAACAGGAUUAGAUACCCUGGUAGUCCAUGCCGUAAACGUUGGGCACUAGGUGUGGGGGACAUUCCACGUUUUCCGCGCCGUAGCUAACGCAUUAAGUGCCCCGCCUGGGGAGUACGGCCGCAAGGCUAAAACUCAAAGGAAUUGACGGGGGCCCGCACAAGCGGCGGAGCAUGCGGAUUAAUUCGAUGCAACGCGAAGAACCUUACCAAGGCUUGACAUUCACCGGACCGCCCCAGAGAUGGGGUUUCCCUUCGGGGCUGGUGGACAGGUGGUGCAUGGUUGUCGUCAGCUCGUGUCGUGAGAUGUUGGGUUAAGUCCCGCAACGAGCGCAACCCUCGUUCUAUGUUGCCAGCACGUGAUGGUGGGGACUCAUAGGAGACUGCCGGGGUCAACUCGGAGGAAGGUGGGGAUGACGUCAAAUCAUCAUGCCCCUUAUGUCUUGGGCUUCACGCAUGCUACAAUGGCCGGUACAAAGGGUUGCGAUACUGUGAGGUGGAGCUAAUCCCAAAAAGCCGGUCUCAGUUCGGAUUGAGGUCUGCAACUCGACCUCAUGAAGUCGGAGUCGCUAG